UACGUAGGGGGCUAGCGUUGUCCGGAAUCAUUGGGCGUAAAGCGCGUGUAGGCGGUCCGGUAAGUCCGCUGUGAAAGUCGGGGGCUCAACCCUCGAAUGCCGGUGGAUACUGUCGGGCUAGAGUGCGGAAGAGGCGAGUGGAAUUCCUGGUGUAGCGGUGAAAUGCGCAGAUAUCAGGAGGAACACCAAUUGCGAAGGCAGCGCGCUGGGACGUUACUGACGCUGAGACGCGAAAGCGUGGGGAGCAAACAGG
rnacentral:rRNA from 1 species